UGGGGAAUAUUGCGCAAUGGGCGGAAGCCUGACGCAGCGACGCCGCGUGGGGGAUGAAGGCCUUCGGGUUGUAAACCCCUUUUACCACUCACGAAGGCCCCUGGUUUUCUGGGGGUUGACGGUAGGUGGUGAAUAAGGACCGGCUAACUACGUGCCAGCAGCCGCGGUAAUACGUAGGGCGCGAGCGUUGUCCGGAAUUAUUGGGCGUAAAGCGCGCGCAGGCGGCUGAUUAAGUCAGGUGUGAAAGGCUGCGGCUCAACCGCAGAGCGGCACCUGAAACUGGUCAGCUUGAGUGCAGGAGAGGGGAGCGGAAUUCCCGGUGUAGCGGUGGAAUGCGUAGAGAUCGGGAGGAACACCAGUGGCGAAGGCGGCUCUCUGGCCUGUAACUGACGCUGAGGCGCGAAAGCGUGGGGAGCAAACAGGAUUAGAUACCC
rnacentral:rRNA from 1 species